GAUCAACGCUGGCGGCGUGCAUGAGACAUGCAAGUCGAACGGACGAACAGGGCUUGCUCUGUUCGUUAGUGGCGGACGGCUGAGUAACGCGUAGGUGACCUGCCCCGAAGUGGGGAAUAACUGCCCGAAAGGGUGGCUAAUACCGCAUGUGGUGAUGCGUUCAUUCGCAUCAGUAAAGCCGCAAGGCGCUUCGGGAGGGGCCUGCGUCCGAUUAGCUCGUUGGUGGGGUAACGGCUCACCAAGGCGACGAUCGGUAGGUGGUCUGAGAGGACGAUCACCCAGACUGGGACUGAGACACGGCCCAGACUCCUACGGGAGGCUG
rnacentral:rRNA from 1 species